UUGACCUCGGAUCAGGUAGGAAUACCCGCUGAACUUAAGCAUAUCAAUAAGCGGAGGAAAAGAAACCAACAGGGAUUGCCUCAGUAACGGCGAGUGAAGCGGCAACAGCUCAAAUUUGAAAUCUGGCCGCAAGGUCCGAGUUGUAAUUUGUAGAGGAUGCUUUUGGCAAGGUGCCUUCCGAGUUCCCUGGAACGGGACGCCAUAGAGGGUGAGAGCCCCGUACGGUAGGACCACCGAGCCUCUGUAAAGCUCCUUCGACGAGUCGAGUAGUUUGGGAAUGCUGCUCUAAAUGGGAGGUGUACGUCUUCUAAAGCUAAAUACCGGCCAGAGACCGAUAGCGCACAAGUAGAGUGAUCGAAAGAUGAAAAGCACUUUGAAAAGAGGGUUAAAAAGUACGUGAAAUUGUUGAAAGGGAAGCAUUUAUGACCAGACUUGGGCUUGGUUGAACAUCCGGCGUUCUCGCCGGUGCACUCUGCCAGUCCAGGCCAGCAUCAGUUUGCUCCGGGGGAUAAAGGCGGCGGGAAUGUGGCUCUCUCCGGGGAGUGUUAUAGCCCGCCGUGUAAUGCCCUGGGGCGGACUGAGGAACGC
rnacentral:rRNA from 1 species